rnacentral:rRNA from 1 species
AUUGAACGCUGGCGGCAGGCCUAACACAUGCAAGUCGAACGGUAGCACAGAGAGCUUGCUCUCGGGUGACGAGUGGCGGACGGGUGAGUAACGUCUGGGAAACUGCCCGAUGGAGGGGGAUAACUACUGGAAACGGUAGCUAAUACCGCAUAACGUCGCCAGACCAAAGUGGGGGACCUUCGGGCCUCACACCAUCGGAUGUGCCCAGAUGGGAUUAGCUAGUAGGUGGGGUAAUGGCUCACCUAGGCGACGAUCCCUAGCUGGUCUGAGAGGAUGACCAGCCACACUGGAACUGAGACACGGUCCAGACUCCUACGGGAGGCAGCAGUGGGGAAUAUUGCACAAUGGGCGCAAGCCUGAUGGAGCCAUGCCGCGUGUAUGAAGAAGGCCUUCGGGUUGUAAAGUACUUUCAGCGGGGAGGAAGGCGGUGAAGUUAAUAACUUCACCGAUUGACGUUACCCGCAGAAGAAGCACCGGCUAACUCCGUGCCAGCAGCCGCCGUAA